rnacentral:lncRNA from 1 species
AUGUCAGCUCAAGUACCGCUGUCAUUAAAGCAAAAGAUGGAUCUACCAAAUACUAAGAAUCUUAACUAUUCACUCAUAUUAUUAUUUUUUUUUUUUUUGUGUGUGUGUGCUGAAAAUAUCAUUAUAAACAUAUCAUAUAAUACAAAAAAGCAUUUCACAAGUUGUCUCAGACUUUCAGACCCCACUUUAUGUCAUGGGAAAUUAAUUAAAGCAAAACAACACAUGAAAUGUCUUUUCACCAGAUGAUCCUUCCUCAUUUUACAUUCCUUCAUACAUAAGACACAUUAUUUUAAAGGAAUAGUUCAGCCAAAAUUAGAAAAUUCUUGUCUACAUAUUGUUACAAACCAGUUUUUUUGUUCCUAAAAUAGUAUUUUGUUUAAAAAGUAAGACUGCUUGAAGAAUCGGUUCACAAUUCUUGCCAUACAUUGCUUGUCGGAGCAUAACAGGAGGUUGAGUAAAUAAUGACAGGAUUUUUGGGUACUAUUUGGGAACUAAAUUAGGGAACUAUUCCUUUAGAGUGAGUGAGCAGCAUUGCAAUGACUGACGCACUUGUGUGCGCACCACUAAACAAGAAAAGCAACAAUCAAAAAGCUAAAAUCCUAACACUAUCCAUGUGCUGGCCAGCAGUAUCCAUUAAAGCAAACUAAACAUCAGUGGAGCGGAGAUUGUCGAGACUGUCGGGAAAGUCUGUGUCGCUGGGAGCGAGUUGAGGCUGGGAAUGGUGUCGCUGUCGAGACUGUCGAGUCGUUGACUGAAAGAUGUGGCCCAUGUGUGAGAGUGAGGGAAGAGAGCUGUACGGCCCUUCUCUCUGACACUCUUCCUUCGAAUGCUUCUCCUGAUUGGGCACCGGGGUCCACGGCUGCCACGAAUCUACAGUGGAGACGGACUUCACAAGCUGAGGCUUCCUCUGCGCAGAAAAGGUUUUGCUGGAAGAGCGGAACUGUCAAUCAAGAGAGGAUUAUGGUCAGAAAUGCUCAUUUAUUGUUUUUGUUGUUGUUGUUGUUUUUUAGAAAUGUCCUAAGAUACUUUUUUGAGAGAUAACUUAAACAUUUAUAAAAAGAAGCUACAAUUGUUGUUUAUUGUGUAUGUGAUGUAAUGCAUUUUGUGUUGCAUGGAGAUAAAAAUGUAGUAUUCAUUUUUAAUGUAAUUAUUAGGAUUGCUUGUUAUUAUAUUCACAAACUCAAGUGGAAUGAAAAACUGCCUACGUGUGAACAAUAGAAAAUUAUAAAAAAUGUACACACACACACACACACAUAUAUAUAUACAUAAUAUAUAUAUAUAUAUAUAUGAAUGUAUAUAUACACUACUUAAAUAGUACACAAACUACAAGUAGGAAGUAGAAAAACUAAGCCUACCGUGUGAACAAUAAGAAAAUUAAUAAAAAUAAGUACACACACACACACACACAUAUAUAUAUACAUAAUAUAUAUAUAUAUAUAUAUGAAUGUAUAUAUACACUCUUAAAAUGUACAGUAAUAUGUAUUCUUAUUUGUACUAUUUGUUUAAAAAAAAAAGAAAAAAAGUAAUAUGUAUUCUUAUUUGUACUAUUUAGUUAAAAAAAAAGAAAAAAGAAAGAAAAGAAAAAAAGGGAACUAAUUUGUCCUAAGAUGCAAAUUUUUGGAGAGAAUUGAAAAAUUAUUUAGUAAAAGAAGCUAGGAUUGUUGUUAAUAUUAUAGAUGAUGUCUAGAAGUAUAAAAAUGUAAUAUUUAUAUUUAAUUAUAAUUAUUAUAAUUGUUUAUUCUAUGUGGCCCUGGACCACAAAACCAGUCUUAAGAGUAAAUUUUUGGAAAUUAGCAGUGGAAGUAAUAUGAAAUUAUAGUAAUAUAUAUUACUCAUCAAAAAUUAAGUUUUGAUAUAUUUUCAGUACGAAAUUUACUAAAUAUCUUUAUGGAACAUGAUCUUUACUUAAUAUCCUAAUGAUUUUUGGUCAUAAAAGAAAAAUACGAUAAAUUUGACCCUUACAAUGUAUUUUUGGUUUUUGCAACAAAUACACCCAUGCUACUUAUGACUGGUUUUGUUGGUCGUAGAGUCACAUAUUCUUAUGGAACAUGAUCUUUACUUAAUAUCCUAAUGAUUUUUGGCAUAAAAGAAAAUCGAUAAAUUUGACCCUUACAAUGUAUUUUGGUUUUGCAACAAAUACACCCAUGCUACUUAUGACUGGUUUUGUGGUCGAGAGUCACAUAUUCAUAAGUCAAAUGGAAUGCAAACUGCCUGACUGAACAAUUUAAAAAAUUACAUUUGGAAACAAUAUCUGAAAAGUAUGAGAAAUAACAUUGAAUAUAACAAACAACCAAACAAAUAAUUUAAAACCUGAAAGAAUAAAUAAUACCUGAAAGAUCAAUGACUUUAAACACUUUACAUAUUUACCUUACUUGGUCCUCUAAAGUCUUGAAUUUUUGAGGAGA